GGUUAAGCGACUAAGCGUACACGGUGGAUGCCCUGGCAGUCAGAGGCGAUGAAGGACGUGCUAAUCUGCGAUAAGCGUCGGUAAGGUGAUAUGAACCGUUAUAACCGGCGAUUUCCGAAUGGGGAAACCCAGUGUGAUUCGUCACACUAUCAUUAACUGAAUCCAUAGGUUAAUGAGGCGAACCGGGGGAACUGAAACAUCUAAGUACCCCGAGGAAAAGAAAUCAACCGAGAUUCCCCCAGUAGCGGCGAGCGAACGGGGAGCAGCCCAGAGCCUGAAUCAGUGUGUGUGUUAGUGGAAGCGUCUGGAAAGGCGCGCGAUACAGGGUGACAGCCCCGUACACAAAAAUGCACAUACUGUGAGCUCGAUGAGUAGGGCGGGACACGUGGUAUCCUGUCUGAAUAUGGGGGGACCAUCCUCCAAGGCUAAAUACUCCUGACUGACCGAUAGUGAACCAGUACCGUGAGGGAAAGGCGAAAAGAACCCCGGCGAGGGGAGUGAAAAAGAACCUGAAACCGUGUACGUACAAGCAGUGGGAGCACAGAGCAAUCUGUGUGACUGCGUACCUUUUGUAUAAUGGGUCAGCGACUUAUAUUCUGUAGCAAGGUUAACCGAAUAGGGGAGCCGAAGGGAAACCGAGUCUUAACUGGGCGUUAAGUUGCAGGGUAUAGACCCGAAACCCGGUGAUCUAGCCAUGGGCAGGUUGAAGGUUGGGUAACACUAACUGGAGGACCGAACCGACUAAUGUUGAAAAAUUAGCGGAUGACUUGUGGCUGGGGGUGAAAGGCCAAUCAAACCGGGAGAUAGCUGGUUCUCCCCGAAAGCUAUUUAGGUAGCGCCUCGUGAAUUCAUCUCCGGGGGUAGAGCACUGUUUCGGCAAGGGGGUCAUCCCGACUUACCAACCCGAUGCAAACUGCGAAUACCGGAGAAUGUUAUCACGGGAGACACACGGCGGGUGCUAACGUCCGUCGUGAAGAGGGAAACAACCCAGACCGCCAGCUAAGGUCCCAAAGUCAUGGUUAAGUGGGAAACGAUGUGGGAAGGCCCAGACAGCCAGGAUGUUGGCUUAGAAGCAGCCAUCAUUUAAAGAAAGCGUAAUAGCUCACUGGUCGAGUCGGCCUGCGCGGAAGAUGUAACGGGGCUAAACCAUGCACCGAAGCUGCGGCAGCGACGCUGAUGCGUUGUUGGGUAGGGGAGCGUUCUGUAAGCCUGUGAAGGUGUGCUGUGAGGCAUGCUGGAGGUAUCAGAAGUGCGAAUGCUGACAUAAGUAACGAUAAAGCGGGUGAAAAGCCCGCUCGCCGGAAGACCAAGGGUUCCUGUCCAACGUUAAUCGGGGCAGGGUGAGUCGACCCCUAAGGCGAGGCCGAAAGGCGUAGUCGAUGGGAAACAGGUUAAUAUUCCUGUACUUGGUGUUACUGCGAAGGGGGGACGGAGAAGGCUAUGUUGGCCGGGCGACGGUUGUCCCGGUUUAAGCGUGUAGGCUGGUUUUCCAGGCAAAUCCGGAAAAUCAAGGCUGAGGCGUGAUGACGAGGCACUACGGUGCUGAAGCAACAAAUGCCCUGCUUCCAGGAAAAGCCUCUAAGCAUCAGGUAACAUCAAAUCGUACCCCAAACCGACACAGGUGGUCAGGUAGAGAAUACCAAGGCGCUUGAGAGAACUCGGGUGAAGGAACUAGGCAAAAUGGUGCCGUAACUUCGGGAGAAGGCACGCUGAUAUGUAGGUGAAGUCCCUCGCGGAUGGAGCUGAAAUCAGUCGAAGAUACCAGCUGGCUGCAACUGUUUAUUAAAAACACAGCACUGUGCAAACACGAAAGUGGACGUAUACGGUGUGACGCCUGCCCGGUGCCGGAAGGUUAAUUGAUGGGGUCAGCGCAAGCGAAGCUCUUGAUCGAAGCCCCGGUAAACGGCGGCCGUAACUAUAACGGUCCUAAGGUAGCGAAAUUCCUUGUCGGGUAAGUUCCGACCUGCACGAAUGGCGUAAUGAUGGCCAGGCUGUCUCCACCCGAGACUCAGUGAAAUUGAACUCGCUGUGAAGAUGCAGUGUACCCGCGGCAAGACGGAAAGACCCCGUGAACCUUUACUAUAGCUUGACACUGAACAUUGAGCCUUGAUGUGUAGGAUAGGUGGGAGGCUUUGAAGUGUGG
rnacentral:rRNA from 1 species